rnacentral:rRNA from 1 species
GACGAACGCUGGCGGCGUGCUUAACACAUGCAAGUCGAGCGGUAAGGCCCUUCGGGGUACGACGAGCGGCGAACGGGUGAGUAACACGUGGGUGACCUGCCCUUAGCUCUGGGAUAAGCCUGGGAAACUGGGUCUAAUACCGGAUAUGACUCCAUGACGCAUGUUGUGGGGUGGAAAGCCUUGUGCGGCUAGGGAUGGGCCCGCGGCCUAUCAGCUUGUUGGUGGGGUGAUGGCCUACCAAGGCGACGACGGGUAGCCGGCCUGAGAGGGCGACCGGCCACACUGGGACUGAGACACGGCCCAGACUCCUACGGGAGGCAGCAGUGGGGAAUCUUGCGCAAUGGGCGAAAGCCUGGCGCAGCGACGCCGCGUGGGGAUGACGGCCUCGG